rnacentral:rRNA from 1 species
AUUGAACGCUGGCGGCAUGCCUUACACAUGCAAGUCGAACGCGAAAGGGGGGCAACCCCCGAGUAGAGUGGCGAACGGGUGAGUAAUACAUCGGAACGUGUCCAGUAGCGGGGGAUAACCUCUCGAAAGAGAGGCUAAUACCGCAUACGUCCUACGGGAGAAAGGAGGGGAUCGCAAGACCUCUCACUAGUUGGAGCGGCCGAUGUCGGAUUAGCUAGGUUGGGGGGUAACGGCCCACCAAGGCGACGAUCCGUAGCUGGUCUGAGAGGACGACCAGCCACACUGGAACUGAGACACGGUCCAGACUCCUACGGGAGGCAGCAGGUGGGGAAUUUUGACAAUGGCGCAAGCCUGAUCCAGCCAUGCCGCGUGAGU